CUUCCUGUUCUCUGGGGGAACCGUGGUACUAGACCUGAACUAGAUUCCAGCACCCACACAUAUGCUGACAACCAUCUGGAACACCAAUUCCAGGAGAUUGAAUGCUGUCUUGGAUGUUUGUGGGCAGCACACACAAGAACCUACAUCUGGCA